UAUUUAUUAGAUAAAAAACCAACGCCCUUCGGGGCUCCUUGGUGAAUCAUAAUAACUUAACGAAUCGCAUGGCCUUGCGCCGGCGAUGGUUCAUUCAAAUUUCUGCCCUAUCAACUUUCGAUGGUAGGAUAGUGGCCUACCAUGGUGGCAACGGGUAACGGGGAAUUAGGGUUCGAUUCCGGAGAGGGAGCCUGAGAAACGGCUACCACAUCCAAGGAAGGCAGCAGGCGAGCAAAUUACCCAAUCCCGAUACGGGGAGGUAGUGACAAUAAAUACUGAUACGGGGCUCUUUUGGGUCUCGUAAUUGGAAUGAGAACAAUUUAAAUCCCUUAACGAGGAACAAUUGGAGGGCAAGUCUGGUGCCAGCAGCCGCGGUAAUUCCAGCUCCAAUAGCGUAUAUUAAAGUUGUUGCAGUUAAAAAGCUCGUAGUUGAACCUUGGGUCUGGCUGGCCGGUCCGCCUCACCGCGAGUACUGGUCCGGCUGGACCUUUCCUUCUGGGGAACCUCAUGGCCUUCACUGGCUGUGGGGGGAACCAGGACUUUUACUGUGAAAAAAUUAGAGUGUUCAAAGCAGGC
rnacentral:rRNA from 1 species